AUGAGAAGGAGUGUCUGGCCAUUCUUAUGGCAGUCGACAGAUGGCGUUCAUAUCUUCUGUUGUCUGAGUUUACUAUCAGAACGGACCAUAGAAGCCUUUCAUGUCUCGAUGAGCAGAAGCUUACUACUCCCUGGCAACACAAGGCUCUCACUAAGCUAUUGGGACUGCAAUAUAAGAUCGAGUAUCGUCGCGGGGCUUCUAAUGUAG
rnacentral:rRNA from 1 species